GCCUAGAUAGCUCAGUUGAUAGAGCUGCGGGUUGAAAAUCCGCGUGUCUUUGGUUCGAUCCCGGGUCGAGGCACCA
rnacentral:tRNA from 3 species